rnacentral:rRNA from 1 species
UACGUAGGGUGCGAGCGUGUCCGGAAUUAUUGGGCGUAAAGAGCUUGUAGGUGGUUUGUCGCGUCUGCUGUGAAAAUCCGAGGCUCAACCUCGGACUUGCAGUGGGUACGGGCAGACUAGAGUGUGGUAGGGGAGACUGGAAUUCCUGGUGUAGCGGUGGAAUGCGCAGAUAUCAGGAGGAACACCGAUGGCGAAGGCAGGUCUCUGGGCCAUUAACUGAC